AGUGAACGCUGGCGGUAGGCCUAACACAUGCAAGUCGAACGGCAGCACAGGAGAGCUUGCUCUCUGGGUGGCGAGUGGCGGACGGGUGAGGAAUACAUCGGAAUCUACUCUGUCGUGGGGGAUAACGUAGGGAAACUUACGCUAAUACCGCAUACGACCUACGGGUGAAAGCAGGGGACCUUCGGGCCUUGCGCGAUUGAAUGAGCCGAUGUCGGAUUAGCUAGUUGGCGGGGUAAAGGCCCACCAAGGCGACGAUCCGUAGGUGGUCUGAGAGGAUGAUCAGCCACACUGGAACUGAGACACGGUCCAGACUCCUACGGGAGGCAGCAGUGGGGAAUAUUGGACAAUGGGCGCAAGCCUGACCCAGCCAUACCGCGUGGGUGAAGAAGGCCUUCGGGUUGUAAAGCCCUUUUGUUGGGAAAGAAAUCCAGCUGGCUAAUACCCGGUUGGGAUGACGGUACCCAAAGAAUAAGCACCGGCUAACUUCGUGCCAGCAGCCGCCGUAA
rnacentral:rRNA from 1 species